AUGGAACUCCCUCAGGGCAGCGGGGAAGGGCCUAACUUCCCUCAACAUCAAGCCUCAGGGCCACCCAGCCAGGAGCCUUGGCCUGUUGGGGCCACACAGAUGCCCAACAGGCUCGCUGGGGCAAGAGACCCUCUUGAGGGUGGAACGGGCAGAACGCAGCGCACCACGGCCCCUCACAGGGUCCACUGGGGGUCCUGCACCCACAGCCCCGAUAGAGUCGCCACGGCCACCAACAGCCAAUCCGAAGACGGGACAUCUUCUCUACCACAGCUGUGGGACUCAGCUUAUUUAGGUUGGAAUGCUUUGUUUGCCUGGACUCAUGAACAACUGACUCCCAUCUUCAGAGGUUAAACAUCGCUUCAGUCUUCACGGGUGGACUAGAAGAGAUAAAGGAGACUGGAUGCCACUGCAGGAAGAUAUGGCUCACCGAGCAAGAGGAUGAGAGUUCACUAAAGAUUUUCUGCAAAGCAGCCUCUCCUUCCUCUCUCCCCACCACGUCUUCUCUGUGCCUUUACUUGUAGACCUCUAGAACCUCAAUCUUUGAGUUCUCUCUUGAAGUGUCACAUUCAAUGUUUGUGUUCAGUUCCUUGGAGAAGCAUCAGGUGUUGCUGCCAGUGCUCAAAGCCUCGGAUCCAUCUGUAGAGAGAAAAUGAGCAGCAUAAAUUCCCAGUUUGUGUAUUAGCUAAAAAGGUGGCUAGUCUCUGCUAUUUCUGUAUUUGGGAUCCUCAGUCUGAAUGUGGGCUCAUUACUCUAUUGAAUUAUAUAUCAGAAGUAAUUUCUUUUCCUGGGAAGUGAAUCCUACAUACCUGCAAAUCUAUUCCAAAAUGGAUUCCUCCCGUCUCUCAGAUGUUGCUUUUGCCUUGGCUAGUCUUCAGAAAAACAAAUUGUCCAAUUAAAUUCACCAAUGGUUUUGCCCCCCAUCUAGAAAUGAGAGGAGGUCAUAGAUUUAGCCCAUUUUCUGGAUGCUGAGAUUCAUAUGCAGAGUGUUGAAAGAGCAGCAGCUUUCCUUAGCAGCCACUCUCUUGUGCUGCCCUUAAGCAUCCUGGAUUGAUGCAUUUUUCAUUUUGCAAUGCAAUUGAACCUUUCUGUGCUGGUGCUUCAGCAAAGCUGUAAUAUCUCCAAACUUAACAAAAGGGUUAUUUUGAAGAUUUCAGUUACAGGAGUAUUAAUGCCAGGCUUGUUUCCUUAACAGUCUGUUACAUGCAGUAGGCAAGGACUGUGCUGUUUGAGGUGAAUACAGCACAAACUCCUGUGCAGAUCUGCCCACUUCAGACAUGUCAGUGGAAGCCAGAUGAAUGACACUGUUUCAGGCAUGGACCAGAGCAGUGGGAAAAUGGCUAGCAAGAGUUAAGGAUUUAUUGGUAUAAUGAAAAGUAGAUUUUCUCCCUUCCCUGCCAAUCCCUUUUAAAGAAGUCUCUGAGCAGAAACAAAGGCUUACUGUCCACCACCAUUUACUAUGUCACUUCUUUUCACAUAUUUCUGUGCUGUUUUUGUCACGUCUGCAGUUAUUCCAUUUUUCCCUGUUAUUCUCCAUCCUUUCACUCUUCUGAACUUCACUGUAUUCCUCUACAAAUCACCUUUUUGUUUUUAAGCUCCUGUCUGCCUCUCAACGUUUCUGCAUUUUUUGUUACCAUAUUUCUAUGGAGCAUCUUUGUUCUCACUGUAUAUCUUAAGUCCAGUUUCUUCAGCAGUUUCCUUCAUCUCACUGCUGCUGGACUUCCUACAUCUUGUCCCCACUGUGUCAUUUUCAGUCACAAAUGGAAGGCUGAGCUGCAAGGCUGCAAGAACCCUAGACUUCCACACAGAAGUGCUGUAGCCAAAUACAGAUGUCCAAUUCCAGAUGAGGUUGGCAACCUUCUGAUGUUAUUUUUGAGUCUGGAGAAAUAUUAUGUCCCACAGGCACUUAAAUUGCUGGAUGUUGGAUCAAGUUUGAGUUGGCUAGUAACAGUUUUGCAUUGCUUUCUGCCCCUUACACAGCCUUGAUGAUAGGUAGAGGUCUUGCCUGAAGGGCAGGAUGGCUCCAGAUGAGUUGGGGCAGUUAGGUAGGCAUCAUUUGUGCACUGUUUUUCCUAGAAGCACUGCUUAGUAUUUCUUAUAUUGCUGAAUUGUAUUCAGCAGUAGUACAAUUGGAGUAUGAUUAUGAUACUCCAAUAAUAAGCAGUAGGGAGUUCUUUACUUAAUCCCACCAUAUUCUUUAGUUGUUUCUAACUUCAGUUUGCAUUCUACCUCCUAAAAUGCAGAUUGACUCAGUUCUACCUCUGCAAGCUCUACCUUGCACAUACCUGCCACACAGAACUAGUACAAAUGAUGCGAUCCCCCUUUUAAAUCUUCAAUCAGGUUUAGCUGUACAGGAUUACAAUUCACUGGUGAGACUAAUAUUACACUUUAAUUUCAGGAAUUCAGGAGAAUGGUGGGAAUCUUCAAAGAUUUCCUCACUUCUCCUGAACUCAUUCUCCAGGUACUGAAAGGAUCUCAAUGCAUAAGUUUUGUACAGUUGCUGCUUUAAUGAGAGAAUUUAAUGGUACCAGGUGCAUUCCUUGAUGACUUCUGUUUGCUCUUCUUAUCAUGAAUUUAACAUUAUUCUUUCAGAGUACAUUUUUGCAAUCACAAAUAUGCUCUUUUUGUUUACACAAUCAUGGUCUUGCAAGUCAAAAGGGGCAGAGAUGAUCACUUGAAACAUUUCUUACAGAAUAAACAUUGGCAGCCAAAGGUGAGGAUGAGAUUC
rnacentral:lncRNA from 1 species